rnacentral:rRNA from 1 species
CCUACGGGAGGCAGCAGUCGAGAAUUAUUCACAAUGGGGGAAACCCUGAUGGUGCGACGCCGCGUGGGGGAAUGAAGGUCUUCGGAUUGUAAACCCCUGUCAUGUGGGAGCAAAUUAAAAAGAUAGUACCACAAGAGGAAGAGACGGCUAACUCUGUGCCAGCAGCCGCGGUAAUACAGAGGUCUCAAGCGGUGUUCGGAAUCACUGGGCGUAAGGCGUGCGUAGGCUGUUUCGUAAGUCGUGUGUGAAAGGCGCGGGCUCAACCCGCGGACGGCACAUGAUACUGCGAGACUAGAGUAAUGGAGGGGGAACCGGAAUUCUCGGUGUAGCAGUGAAAUGCGUAGAUAUCGAGAGGAACACUCGUGGCGAAGGCGGGUUCCUGGACAUUAACUGACGCUGAGGCACGAAGGCCAGGGGAGCGAAAGGGAUUAGAUACCCUGGUAGUC